rnacentral:rRNA from 1 species
UACGGAGGGGGCUAGCGUUGUUCGGAAUUACUGGGCGUAAAGCGCACGUAGGCGGCUUUUGUAAGUUAGAGGUGAAAGCCCGGAGCUCAACUCCGGAAUUGCCUUUAAGACUGCAUCGCUAGAAUUGUGGAGAGGUAAGUGGAAUUCCGAGUGUAGAGGUGAAAUUCGUAGAUAUUCGGAAGAACACCAGUGGCGAAGGCGACUUACUGGACACAUAUUGACGCUGAGGUGCGAAAGCGUGGGGAGCAAACAG